AUAUGAAGAAAAAAGGAAUAGGAGAGUGUGGCGGUAGAAUUGGUGAGAUGAAAAGGAAAGAUAAAAGUGAUGAUGGCUUUUUUUUCUUUUUUCUGGGACCCACAAGGAUUAUUGUUUGACACAAUCUCCUUUGCUCUAAAUUUUCUUCACGUGGCUUGGCAUUUUGGUGGCUGAUAGUUGGUAUUGUUUGGUAUUGCAAUAAUGAAGAUACAAAUGAAUUAAUUUUUGGCAGACCCACUUUUUGACUUAAGCUCCUUUAUGCACAUGGGUUUUGAGCAAAGGUGGAAUUUUGUGUCGGUGGUGAAAGGCUUAUAAAUUGUACGGGUGUGCUUUGGGUUUGUGUGGGUAACAGAGAAAGAAAUUGAGGAGAAAAAGUGGAGAAUAGAAAGAGAGUCGAGACAGAGAUAGUUUGAGCAGACAGUGAGUGAGACAAGAGUUGUAGAGGGCGCAGCGAAAGUUUGGAGAUUUGAUGAUUCUUUUUCAGUUUUCAGGUACAAAAGAUGAACGGGAAUAGUUAGAAACGGGCUUAGGAUGAAGAGUCGGCGUGGAGGAUUUAUUUUUUUAUUUAGAGAUUUUUUUUGUAUUUUUGAGGAAUCUGACUUUGUAUAAAAGAGGGCAUUUUUUUUGUGAUCCUGGGUGUAUUUUGAUGUAUUUGAUCUUGUAUAAAUCGAGAAUUUUAUUGGAAUUAUCGGGCA